UAAGGAAUAUUGGUCAAUGGACGCAAGUCUGAACCAGCCAUGCCGCGUGAAGGAUGAAGGUCCUCUGGAUUGUAAACUUCUUUUAUCUGGGACGAAAACGGGAUUUUUAUCUCAAUUGACGGUACCAGAGGAAUAAGCACCGGCUAACUCCGUGCCAGCAGCCGCGGUAAUACGGAGGGUGCGAGCGUUAUCCGGAUUUACUGGGUUUAAAGGGUGCGUAGGUGGGCUUAUAAGUCAGUGGUGAAAUCUCCGAGCUUAACUUGGAAACUGCCGUUGAUACUAUAGGUCUUGAAUUAUCUGGAGGUAAGCGGAAUAUGUCAUGUAGCGGUGAAAUGCUUGGAUAUGACAUAGAACACCAAUUGCGAAGGCAGCUUACUACAUAUAAAUUGACGCUGAGGCACGAAAGCGUGGGGAUCAAACA
rnacentral:rRNA from 1 species